GAUGAAGAACGUAGCGAAAUGCGAUAAGUAAUGUGAAUUGCAGAAUUCAGUGAAUCAUCGAAUCUUUGAACGCACCUUGCGCUCUUUGGUAUUCCAAAGAGCAUGCCUGUUUGAGUGUCAUGAAAAUAUCAACCUUGACUUGGGUUUUGUGUUCUAGUCUCGGCUUGGAAUUGGGUGCUUGCCGCUUUUACGAGCGGCUCACCUUAAAUGUAUUAGCUGGAUCUGUCUUUGAGACUUGGUUUGACUUGGCGUAAUAAGUAUUUCGCUAAGGACAUUCUUCGGAGUGGCCUCGUUUCUAGGACGCUUGUCCGCUUUCCAAUACAAGUUCCACCUCGUGGACAUGACUUUUUAUUAUCUGGCCUCAAAUCAGGUAGGACUACCCGCUGAACUUAAGCAUAUCAAUAAGCGGAGGA
rnacentral:misc_RNA from 1 species